UUUGCCUGAAUUCUAAAUUACCUUUCUCUUAGUUACAUUUUAGAUUUGCCUUCUUCUACGUAUAGUUCUGACUUAUUGCACCUAUGGUAUAUAGCAGCAAUUCAAAAGGUUAGUAAGAUGAGUUAUCUCUUCUAAGAGUUGUAGGAGAGUUAAGCCUAAUUUGGUCAAGACAGUUACCGAAAAAAGAAAAUGCAAGGUAAGUAGGUAUUAGCUACUAAAGCAAGAAAAUCAGAUGAGGUCAUUUAAGAAUGAACUGCUUUAGUGUUUAGGAAAAAAAGAGGGGAGGACCAAGGACAGGGCUCUGGAAAGCAUCCAGAGACAGCAGCCACAAAAGAUAUACUGAAUGUAUAGCUGGAGACUUGGGAGGCAGCAGGUUUAAAUCGGGGCGGAGAGAGAGAGUGGUUCAGGCUGUCCAGUCAGCUGGGGUGGAAGAGACUGGGCAGAGUACCCUUAAAAGAGGAAAUCAUUGUUGAAGCCAGUGCUUCAAGUAUGGAAACAUUCUCAGAACUCAAAGUCAAGAGAAAUCAGUGAAACCCUAAAUGGAACAACAUAACUAGUGAUUAGUUUAUAAUUUUUUUAAAGAAGAAACCCUAAAUUUGAGAGCUUAGUCAGUUUCUGAAAUUUAGAUUAAAAUAUUCAAGUGAAUAAUAAGAAACACACUUCUGAGACCGCAGAGACCCUGAGGCUGGGCUAGGAGUAAGAGACAAAGGCUGGAAACCAGGAGGAAAUUAAGUUUCUGUUCCCUAAGAAAAGACUUCAUCAAGAGCAGGAAC